CUGAAACAAGAUAAACAGAGUCGAAAACACUGAUUACUGAAUGAAAUGUACUGAGAAAAACAUGAAUCCCCAUCGUCAAUACUGACAGUAUAAUAUCCCAGAUACUGAGAAAACAUUAAUCCCCAUCAUAACAUACUGACGGUACCAUAUCCCAGAUAAACUCCAACUCCCCCAGAUUAACAAACCUAGCCCAGGAGACCAGGAAUAAACAAAAG